rnacentral:rRNA from 1 species
AUUGAACGCUGGCGGCAUGCCUUACACAUGCAAGUCGAACGGCAGCACGGGUGCUUGCACCUGGUGGCGAGUGGCGAACGGGUGAGUAAUAUAUCGGAACGUACCUUAUUGUGGGGGAUAACGCAGCGAAAGCUGUGCUAAUACCGCAUAAUCCCUAAGGGGGAAAGCGGGGGACCGUAAGGCCUCGCGCAAUUAGAGCGGCCGAUACCUGAUUAGCUAGUUGGUGAGGUAAAGGCUCACCAAGGCAACGAUCAGUAGCUGGUCUGAGAGGACGAUCAGCCACACUGGGACUGAGGAACGGCCCAGACUCCUACGGGAGGCAGCAGUGGGGAAUUCUGGACAAUGGGGGCAACCCUGAUCCAGCAAUGCCGCGUGAGUGAAGAAGGCCUUCGGGUUGUAAAGCUCUUUUGUCAGGGAAGAAACAGCAGCUCUAACACAGUAUGCGAAUGACGGUACCUGAAGAAUAAGCACCGGCUAACUACGUGCCAGCCGCCGCAGUAA